AUGUCUAUUUAACAACCUAAUAGUAUAUCUGAAUGGGCUUAGCACACAUUAGCAAAUGUUUGUUCCCAUUCCCUUUCUGCAUCGCAAAGGAGCAUAAUAAUCAAGGAGCCACACACUUCAGAAGAAUGAGAAGAUGUGCUUCUAAAUUUUGAUGACUGCUGAAGGUAACAGCAAGAGAGGAAAAACAAGAAGCAGAUGUACCAUCAAUGAUUAGACUUAGUGAAUUCUAGCUCAGAGUUGAUGAGAAGCCCUCAUGCACUUACACUCAGAAUAAAAUUCUUCCAUUGGCUCUCAUUUUCAUUGCAAGCUGCGUAUAGAGACAGGUAACAGAAGCUGCAGUGUUCUGUGUGUUUUGAAGAACUGCUUUACAACUGUGAGUAGACUGGAGUAGGGGUCAGGGUGAGGGCACUAGUGGAGGGAAUGUAGAGAAAAAUCCCAUAGCAAGAUUCAGUGAAGGGCAGGACUCUAACUGGGGGGGCUCUCUAGGUCUCCUAAAACCUGGACUUCUUUGGGGCUAUAACUACCCAGAAAAGGCAAAGACACAUAGGAAUGUAAUACAGACAGGAGAAGAAUGAGGAAUUACCAAAGAGAGGUCCUCACAAAGAAACAAACAUAACUAGUUUUAUACCACUACAUAUGUGACUCCCUCUGGCAUUCACGGUGUUUGCUAUUGAGGUCACAGUUAAAACACUGUGUUUCCUGAAAAUUUCCAAGGAGACAUGAAGUCUAACAUUAUAUAGGAGAAUUAUUUCUAGCUCAGAUUAACUGUAUCUGAAGCACAGACCACUUGAUACAGAUUCUUAUGCUAAACUCUUGGCAAACAUUUGGGAUUCCCUAAACUAGCUUGAAAUCUAAAAAUUAAUUUCAUCCAACUUCUCCAGAUCUGUACUUGCUAUAGAAAAUCUAGAUAUAACUUGCUUAGAAGACCCCCAUCAUGAACUAUCCAACUGAUGCAUCAUACAAGAUAACAAAUGAACACACAAAAUUAAUGAUUCUUUUUGGAGGUUGAGGACAAGGAAGUGUGUGUAUUGUUUUACACAAAUAGCUUCAAUUGUCCUGAUGUGGGAUAUGGCUUCCUUAUUAUGUGCCUUGCGGCUUCCAUGAUGAAAUGCUUAUAAUUUGGAUAUAUCCUUCCUUGUGAUAUGAAGCCCAGAAGAUCCACGGUAAGUUAAAAUGAACUAAUCAUUUAUGCGGUUAGAAAAAGAUAUAAUGUAAGGUAAAUUCAGACUUAACCUUGAAUUUGGACAAGGAGGUAUGGGUUGUUACAAACAGCCAAACAAACCCACCUCACUAACCUGGAUUUGAGUGUUGACUUUUCCUAAAACUUUGAGCAAAUCACUGAAUUUGUUCAAGCCUCUGUUUCUUCUUCUGUACAAACAGGGAUGCUACAUAUAUCUCUCACAAGGAUGUUUUAAGGGUUAAAUGAUGUAACCUAAAUGCUCUUAUAAAUAUCAAAUGGUGUGUGACAUCAUAAAUUAUCAUGAUUAAAUUCCUCAUAGCUGGUACUGUGUUAUCAUGGGUCUGAGACAUUAUGCAUGGACGUGCAUCAAGAUGGUUUUUAGGAGCCCCAGCAGCUUGGCGGACCCCAAUAAGAAUUUCCAUGUGAAUCUACUUUAUGUGAGGUAUAUGCUUACCUCAUUUUAAAAUUCCUUCAUAUUUAACCAAUAUCCCCCCUGCCACUUAGUGCUCUGAAUCCUGGAAUGAGCCUUAAAUACCUUCGUAUGGCAUUCAGUAGCUCUGGAAUCAGUCUAAGUUUGUAAACCAGUUCUGCUGUCCCUUACAGGUGAGUGACUUUAGGCAGGUAACUUAAUCUUUCUAAGUUUCCUUCUCUGUAAAACAGGGCCAUAUAGUUAAUACCUAAUGGGUUCUUAUGAAGACUAAAGGCAUUAAUACUUGUAAAGCACCUGGCAGCAUUGUAUUUUGCAUGAAGCCAAUGCUCAAAAUGUUAAAUUAUUGUAGCACUCAAUAUGGAUAUAAUUAUAAUAACCAGUUUUGAGGCAUCCUUUAGAAUUGUUUAUGUAAUGGAAUUUUAUUUUUCUUGGUAUUAGAAUGUAAUUUACUCCAAAGGAAAAACAAAAUACCUUUGGCAUAGGAGGCAGACUAUGUGGGAAGCAGAUUAACCUUUUUAACUUCUGCUGGUGCUUGAAAGGUGCUAAGCAUAAUCAUACUGAAAUGUAUUUGUUAGUGUGAUGGCUGCAUUUGAUGUGGAGGAGGAAAUAUGCCCUAAUCAGCUCUAAACAGAUCCUUGAUAUGCUUAGCCUGCCUCUUCCUCCCCUCUCAAAAAAAAAAAAAAAAAAAAAGGUAAACAGGUUGGCA